AUCUUAUGGAGAGUUUGAUCCUGGCUCAGGACGAACGCUGGCGGCAUGCCUAAUACAUGCAAGUCGAGCGAAUGACGAAGAAGCUUGCUUCUUCUGA
rnacentral:rRNA from 1 species